UCAGCCCUCAGCCGCUGCGCCCUCCCGCCCUCGGUGGGUGCUCUCUGAAAUCUGAGGGGUUGUUUCGCCUUUCUUUUUUUUUUUUUCUUUUAAUAAUCCGCAAAGGCGAGUGAGGCCGAGGGAGGAGGAGUGAGUUAGCAAAAAGAAAAAGAUACAUAUAUAUAUAUUAAAAAAAAAAAAAAAAUUGAAACCCCACAAGCCCGUUUGCCGUGUGAAGCUGCGGGGAUGCUGAGGGAUGGCGAUGCUGAAGGAAGGGGAUGCGCACCGCCCCGGGCUGUGAGCGCGAAGUCGUUGUCCUAAGGUGCCCAGACUGUGGAAAGAAGGGCUGGCUGUGUCCUGCUUGCACUGCCCUCAGCUAUGGAAGACAAUACUCGUUCUACUGGAUGGCAGGGAGAGGAUUCUGAGCCUGCAGGAGCCCACAAAGGCCAGCACCUGAGCAAGGGACCUGGACAGACUGAAGAAGACAUGAUGGCAACCUGAAGAAAAAGACUGAAUCAGGACCUGCUGCUGAGCCAUCCUCCCUCACCAUCUCAGGCAGACAGGCCUUGGCACCCUAGCAGCACUCAAGCGCUCCCAGGUCUCGUGUGUUUGCAUGUGAAACCAACUUCUCUGAAAUUCAUCCUGCUCCUACAUAAUGGCUGUUCUGCCUACUGCAGGAUAAAAUUAACUUCAAGGAGGGAAUGACCUCGCUUGCCACUCUGCUUUGUAGGAGCGAUGUGCCAGCAAUGCUAAUAAAGUGUUAUCAAUUCA